rnacentral:tRNA from 1 species
AAUGAAGUGCCUGAAAAAGGGUUAUCGUGAUAGGAUAAAUCAUGCAAUCGCUCGAUUGCCUUCAUUA